CUCCUUGACUUCUACUCUUGUUACAUGAUCUCUUUUGCACCUUUCUCUGAAAGUAUUUAUUUCUACUCUUUAUCCCUGGUGUGUUGAAAUUUCACAGUGGUAUAUCUAGGUUUGUCUCUUUUAUUCAUUCAUUAUGUUUGAUCUUUUGAUGGACUCUUUAAAUCUGGAAUUUCAUGCCCUUCAGUUCUGGAAAUCUUUUUGGAAUUUUUUCUUUGUAAUUGCCUCCCUUGUUUUCUCUCAGAUCUCUCAUUAAAAUUUCUUUUAAGAGACUAUUGAACCUACUUGAUAGAUGCUUUAAUUUUUCUUUCCUGC
rnacentral:lncRNA from 1 species